CUGUCUCUGAAGUUACAUGUGCUCAAGCUCACCUUUUUGACUCUCAGAAGCUGAAACAUCAGUCUGCAUACUGAUACGCUUUGUGAAAACUAAACUAGGAACACCUGCAGAGCCCCCUGGUGAGCCCCAGUGGAGGGGCUCUGAACUGAAGAGGAACACAUCUAAUGAUGCCCUGAAGUUUAGUCUGAGUAUCUCCAAAUGGAGCAUAGCUGGAAAAACAAAUCAUCUGGGGAAUGCAUUGUCUGGUUGCACAGGCCACAGCUCCAAACAGGAUGUAGUGAAGCUGCAUGGGAAACUGAUCCAGCUGUGCUACAGGAUGGAGCAGGUUCAAGUGUGUCAGCUCCUGGUCUGAAUGUGGGAACAGCAGAAACACGCUGUGUAGGUGGCUUACACUGUGUAGCCAGUGAACGUGCCUGCAGAUACAUGGGCAAUACCAGCAACAAAGGCUACUUCCUUACCAGCCCACGCACAAAUCUGUUCCACGCUCCGCAUGGGAAGAGGCAGCAGCAUCGCGGAUGAGCGAAGGCUGCAGGGUGCUGAUAUUUGGGUGAAAAUCCACACCCCACUGUGUUAUUCAUCC
rnacentral:lncRNA from 1 species